AUUGAACGCUGGCGGCAUGCUUUACACAUGCAAGUCGGACGAGUGGCGAACGGGUGAGUAAUAUAUUGGAACGUAACGAGUAAUGGGGGAUAACCAAUCGAAAGAUUGGCUAAUACCGCCUAUUAUUCGAGCGGCCCAUCUCUGAUUAGCUAGUUGGUGGGGUCAAGGCCUACCAAGGCGACGAUCAGUAGCGGGUCUGAGAGGAUGAUGCGUCACAGUGUGACUGAGACACGGCCCAGACUCCUACGGGAGGAAGCAGUGGGGAAUGUUGGACAAUGGGCGAAAGCCUGAUCCAGCCAUGCCGCGUGUCUGAAGAAGGCCUUCGGGUUGUAAAGGACUUUUGUUAGAGAAGCGGUACCUAAAGAAUAAGCACCGGCUAACUACGUGCCAGCAGCCGCGGUAAUAC
rnacentral:rRNA from 1 species